AUUACAAACCAUUCCUCGUGUAACAGAUGAGAGGAUGACAGAGCUAUUCCACAAGUCGAAUGCUUCCCCAUGAUUUAAUCGAGUCGAAACGUUUUGUAGAAUGGAAGACCGGUUGGAUCGAGUCGGUGUGUCGGUGUCGAUGAUCGAGGAUUAUUGGACAUGAAAGCUCUUAUUGGACCCGAAUCCGAAACGACUCGGUCGAAUGCGUCUGGGCUCGUACAAAUCGAGCAGAAGCACAAGGAAGCGACGAUGAAGCCGACACUCAACACCUCACGUUUCUAUUUAUCUCAUAAUUAAGUAAUAAAUCGGAAAAAAAAAACCGAAGGAAGAAAACUUAUGGUGGAGACGGCUCGACUCAGAAGAAUCUAGAUUCCUGACGGGCCCCACAACCAUCUUCUUGCACGGUGACCACGCGCGUCCUCUACGUUUAAAAAGCGACGGCUAUGAUGAAUACUGAUUUUAAACGUAGUGGGAUUUCUAUUUGCCAAAAGCGACGGGUUCCUUCCAACGGCGUCGAACCCAAGCAGAACAGGUCCUCCACACACGCGGCGCCGUCUCAUUGGCCCCGGUGACCGAGGUAUGCGUUGACGGCGCCCUCGGCUGGGCGCGCCGGAACCGAACGCACAGUUCGAUUCGAUUUAUUUCCCUGGUCACGGACGACGGCGCGGGGAUAUUCACUCGGGCAGGAGGCCGUAUAAAGCAGGAGGGAGAGAAGGGGAAGGACGACGCCACAAAAAGUUCUUCGUCGACGGAGCGGGAGAUCUCGAUUCCUGAUCUCGGCGUGGAGAUGAAGAAGGCUGGGGUCUUCGCCGCCUCCCUCGCGGCCGUCUCUUCCGCUGCUCUCUCCACCACCAACCCCUCCUCCUCGAUCUCCACCUCCACCUCCUCCUCCUCUAAAGAGGGAUUGGGAUCGUCGAGGAAGCAGGACGCUGCCGGAUCAGGAUCAAGGAGGGACUCGGAAGACAAGUUCGCGCCGAGAUUCGACGGGCUUAGGUUCAUCGAGACGCUGGUAACGGCGCAUCGGUGAUUCUCGAGUCUCUUGCCGAUGCUUCACCCUCUUAUCACCGAUCGAUUUCUGCCACGGCGGUGGUUCUCUUCCUGAUAUAAUUAUGAUUUAGUAUUGGUGGUCUGCAAGCUCUGUUACGCACGAGCCGUGUGUGAUUUUAACUUCUUGUAUAUUAAUUAAUUAAUUAAUUAUUCUUGUAUCUCGAUUAA